AUUACAAUUUGAAUAUUAGUAAUGAGUGAUGGGUGAUCUUAUGUGUGUCUAACUUUGGUAUUAUAUUACAUUAAUUGAAAUAAAGCCAUUAAGACUGCAGUUUUUAAACACUUUGCAGAAUUAUUUAACUACCUGGGAGGCUGAAUGCGACAUAAUCCAUGUCAAUAAUUGUCGCUAUCUGAUAUUGUAUCAGUUUUAGGUUGGGCUUUAGGCCGGUAACUGCUGUUUUCUGAUCAAAAUUAUAUGGUGAACCGUGUUUAUUUCAAUUUCAUAGGAACUUUUUAUUUCACCCGUUCAGUGUAAAACAUGGGCAACGGUGCUAUGUUCUGGAAUGUCACAUUUCUAGCGUGGAUUGGUCUAUGGUUAUCGGAUGUUCUAGGGAAUGUCAAUAGUACUUGAUGUCAUCCCAUUAAGUGGUAUCCAGUGAUGCAACAGAUCAGAUAUGAUUUACAGGCGAAUUUUACCUCAGCCUAUCCUGCGACAGUAAUCAAAACAGUGAAGAAAACUAUGACAUUCUUCCAGUGGUAUUCACAAUGCCUUAGUCUGAAAAUCGACGUGUACAAAAAAGAGCACCAAAAAGAAAAGAUUUCGAAUGUGUUUUAGCUGUAGUUGGAGCGUGACUGUUUUGUAAAUUGAGUGUUGGAAUAAAACGUGUUUUGAAACUGGAUUCGUUUUGCACUUACAUUCGUUUUAGAACUGAAUGGUAUUGGUGUGGAAUUUAUUUUUUUACAAUUGUAGUUAAUCAUUUUUUUUAAUUCUCAUCUUAGUACUAUCUGUCGAUAAUUUGAAUUACGGUAGGUGUCUGCAUUCACUCAUGUUUGAGUCUCAACUCUUUGUUUGUGUGAAUUAUGGCAAAAUAGUUUUUUUUAUUUCGGGAAGAAUAUGUUUUCUGCUAUUUAUGAUGCUGCAUUUUGUCAUCAAAUUGUUCUUUUGUAAAUACUUUGUAUAAAUCAUAAUUAUGGAGUAUUUUGCAAAGAACAUAAACAGUAAGCAACUGAAUUUACCGUAGACUGUCGAAACGCCAUUGUUUUCUUGGAUCCCUGUCUAUUAUGGUAUUUACUUCAGUGUAUAUUUACCUCCUUUCAAUUUC